CCUACGGGAGGCAGCAGUAGGGAAUAUUGCUCAAUGGGGGAAACCCUGAAGCAGCAACGCCGCGUGGAGGAUGAAGGUUUUCGGAUUGUAAAGUCCUUUUGUUAGGGAAGAUAAUGACGGUAUCUAACGAAUAAGCACCGGCUAACUACGUGCCAGCAGCCGCGGUAAUACGUAGGGUGCAAGCGUUACUCGGAGUCACUGGGCGUAAAGAGCGCGUAGGCGGGAGAGCAAGUCCGAAGUGAAAUGCUGGGGCUUAACCAUAGAACUGCAUUGGAAACUGUUAAGCUAGAGUGUAGGAGAGGUAGGUGGAAUGCUUGGUGUAGGGGUAAAAUGCGUAGAGAUUAAGAGGAAUACGAAUGGCGAAGGCGACCUGCUAGAACAUAACUGACGCUGAUGCGCGAAAGCGUGGGGAGCAAACAGGAUUAGAUACCCCUGUAGUC
rnacentral:rRNA from 1 species